rnacentral:rRNA from 1 species
AUUGAACGCUGGCGGCAGGCCUAACACAUGCAAGUCGAGCGGAUGAGGGGAGCUUGCUCCUGGAUUCAGCGGCGGACGGGUGAGUAAUUCCUAGGAAUGUGCCUGGUAGUGGGGGAUAACGUCCGGAAACGAGCGCUAAUACCGCAUACGUCCUGAGGGAGAAAGUGGGGGAUCUUCGGACCUCACGCUAUCAGAUGAGCCUAGGUCGGAUUAGCUAGUUGGUGGGGUAAAGGCCUACCAAGGCGACGAUCCGUAACUGGUCUGAGAGGAUGAUCAGUCACACUGGAACGGAGACACGGUCCAGACUCCUACGGGAGGCAGCAGUGGGGAAUAUUGGACAAUGGGCGAAAGCCUGCUCCAGCCAUGCCGCGUGUGUGAAGAAGGUCUUCGGAUUGUAAAGCACUUUAAGUUGGGAGGAAGGGCAGUAAGUUAAUAAGUUGCUGUUUUGACGUUACCAAACGAAUAAGCACCGGCUAACUUCGUG